AUUGCAGGGAGGGAAGCCUGAGCUGGAGGCAGUAGGGUAGAGGAGGAAGUGAGUGAGAAGGGCUAGGGUACCAGCAUGGACUUUGAAAUGUGUGUUGGAUACCUCUGAUGCUGAGGGAGACUGGAGGCCAGCAUGAGAUCUGAGAUGCUGAUAGCCAAUAGGUCCCUUCUGCCAGAGGUAAGGGGAGCAACUCUUUUUGGUAGAGGGGAACCAGUUUCGCAAGUUCCCGAGGAAUGCUGGCUUUUAUUUAACUGCCAGAAAUCCUCCCAUAGUCUGGGUUGAGCCCAUUUCUGGGUAUUUGACUGCCUUUUGGAAUAUGGUGAACUGGAGUUUGGAACCUGAUGAUGACAACACCAUAAAUCCCAUGUUGUCUUAUUCUGCAAAGAAGGAGGGACAUCACCCCAAACAAUGUGUCAUUUAUCAACACCCUCCCAGACAGGAACGAGAAAAACAGUGACUCAGUCAGUACUAAUUUGCCAGCCACAGGAGGGAGGAAGAGGAGAGAGUGUCUGCAGCCUCACCCCAAGGAUGCACCACCACACUCCUGUGUUGUAGCUUGGAGACAGGCUGGGGCAGGAAUGAGACUCAUUACCCUUCUGGAAGCAAGGAGAAGGUUGGGUUCCUGAGUCAACUGACAGGGUGGUGGCUCCCUCUUCACCAUCCACCAGGCCUUUCUGUCUCUCCUUCUCAGGGGUGGACUGUAAGGUGAGCUAGGGUCAGAGCAGUGGUGCUCCAUGAGUGCUGUGGAGGUGACAAAGGUUCCCUCUCCUGAACCUGUAAGGAGUUGUAACGCUGGUUGUUACACUGGGAAUGAACACAUUUAGUAGAAGAAUGAUUAACUCCAUGGAUAGACAUACGGACAACAGCAUGGCAGAUGCACUGAGGAGAGUUCAGUGCCAGAAACAGAAUGACAGAAGCUCCAAAGGGGAGUCAGACCCAUGUGGCCGAGUUUGGGUCCUUUCUUGGAAAAAGAAUUCCAUCCUGCUUCCAGAAAUGGGAUCUGCCCUGACCAUUGUUCUUUUCAUCCUGGAGUUUACAACAUUUCUCUGCAAAUGAAGAGUUUUGGAAGCCCCAGCCAGGGGAGACUGCAGGAGAAGUCUGCAGAGAGGCUGCUGCAGCUGUCCACCCGGAAAUGAGACAUUGACCUUGCCCAUGGGUUUUGGAAGCCCCAGCCAGGGGAGACUGCAGGAGAAGUCUGCAGAGAGGCUGCUGCAGCUGUCCACCCGGAAAUCAGACAUUGACCUUGCCCAUGAGUUUUGGAUGCCCCAGCCAGGCGAGACUGCAGGAGAAGUCUGCAGAGAGGCUGCUGCAGCUGUCCACCCGGAAAUGAGACAUUGACCUUGCCCAUGCAUGAGGGCAGGACCUCAGAACAUUCAACACGUGGCCCCUGAUGCACAAAAUGUGAUGCUUGGCCAAUGGGGGAACUGUGAAGAAAGUUCCUGGAGAGAAGCUGUGCCUGCUGGGAUCAGAACUCCAGGGAGGAGUCUGUGUUUGCAGAGACUGGAGGACUGAGAGGAAUUUCAGUAGUGUGGAGACUCUGGAUUGAGCAGCGAUGAAGCCAAUUUUGCGUGGAUAAGAAUCUGCAAAUGAGACUGGACUGAUGGGUCAGCAGUGAGGAGCCCUUGCUGCUCUGGUGGAGACCUCACAGCAUCUUCACUCCAGGUCCAGGGACAGAUGCCGUCUUCUGGUCUUCACAAGCACUAAAAGCAUGUAGUACACUUCCAUCACCCUUGCCAACACACUCAACACUUAAGGUGACCCCCCAAAUUUAUAGAAAAACACCAGGCUUAAAGAA